rnacentral:rRNA from 1 species
UACGUAGGGGGUGAGCGUUGUCCGGAUUUAUUGGGCGUAAAGAGCUCGUAGGCGGCUUGGCAAGUCGGGUGUGAAACCUCCAGGCUCAACCUGGAGACGCCACUCGAUACUGCCAUGGCUAGAGUCCGGUAGGGGACCACGGAAUUCCUGGUGUAGCGGUGAAAUGCGCAGAUAUCAGGAGGAACACCGGUGGCGAAGGCGGUGGUCUGGGCCGGCACUGACGCUGAGGAGCGAAAGCGUGGGGAGCAAACAGG